CCCUUAGAUGUUCUGGGCUGCACGCGUGCUACAAUGGCGAUUGCAACAAGUCUUGCCAACCCGAUAGGGUGAGCGGAUCUUUGAAGAGGCGUCGUGAUCGGGACAGUUGAUUGCAAUUAUUCGACUCGAACGAGGAAUUCCUUGUAAUCGCGAUUCAUCAUAUCGCGCUGAAUACGUCCCUGCCCUUUGUACACACCGCCCGUCGCUCCUACCGAUUGAGCGAUCCGGUGAAUGUUUUGGACUGGCGUCAGAAGCGGUUCGCUCCUGACACUACGAAAUUUUGUAAACCUUAUCGCUUAGAGGAAGGAAAAGUCGUAACA
rnacentral:rRNA from 1 species